rnacentral:rRNA from 1 species
AUUGAACGCUGGCGGCAUGCUUUACACAUGCAAGUCGAACGGCAGCGCGGGCUUCGGCCUGGCGGCGAGUGGCGAACGGGUGAGUAAUGCAUCGGAACGUGCCCAGUAGUGGGGGAUAGCCCGGCGAAAGCCGGAUUAAUACCGCAUACGACCUGAGGGUGACAGCGGGGGACCGAAAGUCCUCGCGCCAUUGUAGCGGCCGAUGUCGGAUUAGCUAGUUGGUGGGGUAAAGGCUUACCAAGGCGACGAUCCGUAGCUGGUCUGAGAGGACGACCAGCCACACGGGGACUGAGACACGGCCCAGACUCCUACGGGAGGCAGCAGUGGGGAAUUUUGGACAAUGGGGGAAACCCUGAUCCAGCCAUGCCGCGUGAGGGAAGAAGGCCUUCGGGUUGUAAACCGCUUUUGUUCGGGAAGAAAUCCUCUGGGCUAAUACCCCGGGGGGAUGACGGUACCGGAAGAAUAAGCACCGGCUAACUACGUG